AGAGUUUGAUCCUGGCUCAGAACGAACGCUGGCGGCGUGGAUAAGACAUGCAAGUCGAACGAGAGAAUUGCUAGCUUGCUAAUAAUUCUCUAGUGGCGCACGGGUGAGUAACACGUGAGUAACCUGCCCCCGAGAGCGGGAUAGCCCUGGGAAACUGGGAUUAAUACCGCAUAGUAUCGAAAGAUUAAAGCAGCAAUGCGCUUGGGGAUGGGCUCGCGGCCUAUUAGUUAGUUGGUGAGGUAACGGCUCACCAAGGCGAUGACGGGUAGCCGGUCUGAGAGGAUGUCCGGCCACACUGGAACUGAGACACGGUCCAGACACCUACGGGUGGCAGCAGUCGAGAAUCAUUCACAAUGGGGGAAACCCUGAUGGUGCGACGCCGCGUGGGGGAAUGAAGGUCUUCGGAUUGUAAACCCCUGUCACGUGGGAGCAAAUUAAAAAGAUAGUACCACAAGAGGAAGAGACGGCUAACUCUGUGCCAGCAGCCGCGGUAAUACAGAGGUCUCAAGCGUUGUUCGGAAUCACUGGGCGUAAAGCGUGCGUAGGCUGUUUCGUAAGUCGUGUGUGAAAGGCGCGGGCUCAACCCGCGGACGGCACAUGAUACUGCGAGACUAGAGUGAUGGAGGGGGAACCGGAAUUCUCGGUGUAGCAGUGAAAUGCGUAGAUAUCGAGAGGAACACUCGUGGCGAAGGCGGGUUCCUGGACAUUAACUGACGCUGAGGCACGAAGGCCAGGGGAGCGAAAGGGAUUAGAUACCCCUGUAGUCCUGGCAGUAAACGGUGCACGCUUGGUGUGCGGGGAAUCGACCCCCUGCGUGCCGGAGCUAACGCGUUAAGCGUGCCGCCUGGGGAGUACGGUCGCACGAUUAAAACUCAAAGAAAUUGACGGGGACCCGCACAAGCGGUGGAGUAUGUGGCUUAAUUCGAUGCAACGCGAAGAACCUUACCUGGGCUUGACAUGUAAUGAACAACAUGUGAAAGCAUGCGACUCUUCGGAGGCGUUACACAGGUGCUGCAUGGCCGUCGUCAGCUCGUGUCGUGAGAUGUUUGGUUAAGUCCAGCAACGAGCGCAACCCCUGUUGCCAGUUACCAGCACGUGAAGGUGGGGACUCUGGCGAGACUGCCCAGAUCAACUGGGAGGAAGGUGGGGACGACGUCAGGUCAGUAUGGCCCUUAUGCCCAGGGCUGCACACUUACUACAAUGCCCAGUACAGAGGGGGCCGAAGCCGCGAGGCGGAGGAAAUCCUAAAAACUGGGCCCAGUUCGGACUGUAGGCUGCAACCCGCCUACACGAAGCCGGAAUCGCUAGUAAUGGCGCAUCAGCUACGGCGCCGUGAAUACGUUCCCGGGUCUUGCACUCAACGCCCGUCA
rnacentral:rRNA from 1 species